GCGGUGGCUGAGCGGUAAAGCGCUUGACUCCCAAACCGAAGGUCCCGGGUUCGAAUCCCGGUGCA
rfam:Biomphalaria glabrata isolate BB02 unplaced genomic scaffold LGTN_random_Scaffold6683, whole genome shotgun sequence.